AAACUUUCAACAACGGAUCUCUUGGCUCUCGCAUCGAUGAAGAACGCAGCGAAAUGCGAUAAGUAAUGUGAAUUGCAGAAUUCAGUGNAUCAUCGAAUCUUUGAACGCACCUUGCGCUCCUUGGUAUUCCGAGGAGCAUGCCUGUUUGAGUGUCAU
rnacentral:rRNA from 1 species